GCGAGCAUAUCGCAUAAUCAAAUUACCUGCCUAAAAUUCAUAUCGAAAACAAAAAUAAAGUAUGGUUAGUUUAAAGCUUAAUAAAGAUAUGAUAUUAAUUGUACCUGUACAUGGAAUAGCCAUCAUGCUACUUAUUUAUUAGUCUAGAAGGAAUGUGGUAAAAGAUCUCUCGCACCUUUCUUGAAUUUUGAGAUAAGAUCAAAAUCUUACCCAAUCCGUUGAACACAAGGAAAU
rnacentral:lncRNA from 1 species